GUUGCUCAUACGUAACUAAAAACAUUUAAUUUAAGCAAGGAUGAGUAUUUGAGUGCCCAGCAAGUAAUAGCAAUUAUAUAUAUAAGCUGAAAGAAUAUAAGUAUUCUCUUUACAUAACACUUCUACAACGAAUCGAAAGUUGUGAAGUAAUCUGUACUGAUAAAAAUUCACAUAACAACUCUCUUCCAAAUUAUUUAAAUUUGGCUCUGGCCCUACCCAUUAAUAGGGUUUAAGAAACAUACUAUGAACAUUGUUUUUCAUUUUUGAAAAGGUUUGGCAGAAAUCCAUCCGCAAACCGUUCUAGCUUACGGGUACGGAGGGUGAUCAGCCCCGUUGUACCCUGUAUUGAUCAAUACUACAUAACUUGAACGAAAUUCAUCGCUCACUCUAUCCGCCUUGGGCGCAAAAAUCUUCCCAUAUAGGGAUGUUCAUACAUGCCUGGUUCCAAACCCGAAGGUUUUUAAUCUUGCUCAACAAUAAUAUGUAAUUCAACAUAUAUGUAUACGGGUAAUUGACAAAGGUAUAUCAACAUGUGAAUAAAUGCCAUGAUUAUCCAAGUGGGGACACUUGUAUAACCAUUUAGAAAUCAACUUAACAGAAUAUAUAUCUGAGCUAACAUGUUGAUAAUCAAAGCGUACAUAAUCUGUACAGGAAUAGAAUAAUUCUGAAACUUCU
rnacentral:lncRNA from 1 species